rnacentral:rRNA from 1 species
AUGGGCACGGACGAGGAGGAGCACCAGUACCCCGUGUGGAAGCGCGAGCAUGAGGAGGGGGAGGAGCCCACGGCCGCCGACGAGAAGCGCCCACGCACGGCAGGCGAAUCGGAGAGCGCCUUGCUGCUCGGGCUCGCCAACUACGCAGACGAGGAGGAGGAGCACGGGGCGCCGAGGGGGCACACAAACGGCCGGCCCCGGGAGGAGGAGGAAGAGGAAGACGAUGAGGAUAAGGAGGAGGACGAGAGGAGGGCUCCACAGAGGCGGCCCAGGCAGGUCGAGCUGCACUGUGACUGCCCCUACCUCGACACCGUCAACCGACGGACUGAGAAAGUUUACUGUCUUCCUGAUGGAUAUGAGAUAAAUGAUCCAUCACUAGAAGAUAUUCAACAUGUUCUUAAUCUAAGGUUUGCAAGAGAGUUGGUUAAAAUUCUGGACAAGAACAAGCAAUGGUCAAGAGCUCUGGAUGACUCCAAUUAUUUACCUGGAAUGGUUGGUCUUAACAACAUUAAGGAGACUGACUUUGUGAACGUCACAAUACAAUCACUGAUGAGGAUUACCCCUUUGAGAAAUUUCUUUCUUAUACCUGAAAAUUAUCAGCAUAGCAAAUCCCCACUGGUUCAUCGGUAUGGAGAACUAACUUGGAAGAUUUGGCAUGCUAGGAACUUCAAGGGACAAGUUAGUCCACAUGAGUUCCUUCAAGCUGUUAUGAAGGCUAGUGAGAAGAAGUUUCAGAUUGGUGUACAAUCUGAUCCAGUAGAGUUUAUGUCAUGGCUCUUGAACACACUGCAUGCGAAGCUAUGA